CACACACACACACACACACAAAAACAUGCAGAUGGAGUACUUGGUGGAGAGAGAGUUUAGAACAUGGUCCUUAAUUCCCUUCCACAGCUGAGACUCUUUGGUUCUGCCUUUCCUAAUUGUGUGUCAUGAAUCUUUCUUGUAAGGGGUGGACAAGUGUUGUCUGCCUCAUGGGAGGUCCUCGUUGGAGAACCAGCUUCUGGACCCUAGAGCUCCUGGGUGAGGCCCUGACAGUGUAUAUAUGAGUACCUUCUCUGUGAUCCUCUUGGUUCUUACAGAUCUGUAAGCAUGGUCGACUGCAGGGACUAUUUCUCCUUUUUCCCCCAAGGCCCAGAAUAUUCCCCAAUGGCUCACCUGCUAGUUUGUGUUUUCCCAUGGCUAGAAAGGGCAGACUUGGGUUCAGAGACUGAUUCCAACCCCUGCCUCAGGCAGACACUAGCUGUGUGACCUUAAGUCUUUCUCACCUCUGCUUGCUCAUCUGUCACCUGGGCAGAAGGCUAGCUGCCCCCACCCCCCACCCCCGGGAGGUUGUGGAGUUCAGGUGACAUACCCUAUGCAUAUUGCUUUGCCUUCCUGCUGCUGCUGUGUAAAUACUAGUUACCCUUAUGGUCUUAACUGUUGUUUGACAGAAAUCUCCUCAGUUCUCUCCUGGGCCAGAGGAGCUCAGUGAACGCAGAUACCUCAAAAGUUUUUUGUUUUUUUUCCUUGUCCCUCUGAAUCAUCUAGACUAGUUCCAGAUGGGUUCCCAGGAGUGGGAGAGAGAAGGGCAGUGGCCCCCUCUCCUGCCUGGCCUUCCCUGGCUGUGGCAUCAUGGUCCCCCUGCUGUUACUGUGUCUGACCCUUCCUAGUCUUUUCCCCCAGAAGCCCUGCUGGAUUUGUGAAGGCCUGACAGUGAGUGGGAUAGCUGCCCUGGCUCAGCUGAGAUCAGGGCAAGAUUCUGUGUCAGGCCUGGAUGACCACAUGGGGCAUAUUGUCCAUGGUCCCAGGAUGGAGUGAUCUCCACAUAGGGGGUUUUGGUCUUAUUUGGUGUCCUCUUUGUCUCCUGCCCAGGAAUGCAGCUCUGUCUGCCAGGAGGAUUCCUCUCACUUUUUCCUCCUUCCAUAUAUAAGGAAGUCUUCCCCUCACUGUAUCACCUCGCUUCUAUUUAAUACAAUUCAAAAAGCCUUUAUUCAGGCUUCCUCUGGGUCCAGUGCUAGGAACAGAAGAAUACUUUGAAAAGUCCUCUCUUACCCAACGAGCUGGAAACCGUUAUUUCUCCACUCCUUAUCUACAUGGGAGAUGUUGAGCAGGAAAAGACCCUAGUGGCAAGCUCUACGGUCUGAUCCCUUCAUUGCAUGCUCAUGGAAACUGAAGCCCCAAAUGGUUAGGCACUUUUCCCAAGGAGAAACAGCUCAGGAAAUCUUUGAUCCCUGUCUUCUGAUUCCAAAUGGAAAUUUUAUUCUGUGCUGGAGAAGGGGUCUCUCUUGGGGAAACUGAAGGUCAGUGUGAUAGAGCUUAGCUUUAGGUCACUGGGACGUUCAGUAGCAGCCUAGUCCUGCUACAUGGACCCCAGAAGUGUUUACUGACCCUCAAAGAAUGGGCAAGAACUGUUCCUUUUUCCAUUCUAGACUCCUGGGGAUGUAGAGGUGUGUCUGGGCAAUCCAUCAAUGGAGAAAAGUCCUGUUUUGAGGGAAAGACCUGCUCUCCUUCCCACACCUUGUCUCUUCCUGUUAUCUUCCUCCCUCAUCUACCACCUGUCCAAAUCUCUCCCUGCCCUUGCAAUGCUUGACCCAAAGCUCCAAGAACCCUGCUGUCCCUGGUUCUCCCAGCAUUGUCAUGAUUGCCUUCUGACAGGAUACAGGCUGCUUAGAGGGAGGACAGGUUAGAUGCUCUCAGCCUCUUUCCAGCUCUGAGGGGGAGGGUGUGUGUGUGUGUGUGUGUUGUAAAUGGGUACUUUCCAUUAACCAUAUAUUUUAUUUCUGUAUACUGAGGUGUCUAUGAUGAUCCUCAAGGGGGGUGGGGGGUUUACUUUUUUUUUUUUAUUUUAUGUCCUCACUAGCAGCAAGUUUAAAGCUGGGAGGGUUUAAUCACUUUUGUAAUCACUUGUUAAUUGUUUAAGAUUCUUUUAAUUGUCUGCUGAAACAAGAGUUCAGUAGAAUUAGUCAGUACAAAAAGGGCUACUUUCCUUCCCCACUGUGAAUCCUGUAAAAAGUGGUUCCAGGUGGGUCCCCAGAGUUGGGUGGAAGGGGCAAUUGUCCUCUCUCCCACCUGGCCUCCAUAUGGCCACGAGGCCAUCCCUAACGAGUGAGUGUGUGUGUGUGUGAGCAGCAUGUUUGGCACCUCUGAGUGGGUCCGCGUGAAUGGUCCUGAGGCAUGUAUGGGUGUUGUGUGUGGGUUGUGUUUCUGUGGUUGGGUGUGUAUCCUUUGUGAAUAGUAGGUAAAUGUGUAUCCAGGUCUCCAGCGAUUGGCUGGGUUAAUAGAUUGUAAAAGCUGUACAUGUUCGGAGAGGCCUGUGGACGGGCACCUGGCUUUUCCACAAAGUAUGGCCUGGAAAACUGCUUUCAGUAGCGAAUGCCCAUCCUCCUAUCAGGAGGGGGCGGACAGGUCCCAGCCUAGGGGGCGGGCGGUCUCCCUUUGCAGGUGGCUUGCCCUGGACAUCUCCCAGCCUUGUCCCUGUCGUGAUUCUGUGAGUCACCGGACCUCUUCUCCGAGCCGGAAUAAAGGACUUAUUCUGGACCCUA